rnacentral:rRNA from 1 species
UACAGAGGUCUCAAGCGUUGUUCGGAUUCAUUGGGCGUAAAGGGUGCGUAGGCGGCGCGGUAAGUCGGGUGUGAAAUCUUGGAGCUUAACUCCGAAACUGCAUUCGAUACUGCCGUGCUUGAGGACUGGAGAGGAGACUGGAAUUUACGGUGUAGCGGUGAAAUGCGUAGAUAUCGUAAGGAAGACCAGUGGCGAAGGCGGGUCUCUGGACAGUUCCUGACGGCUGGAGGCACGAAGGCCAGGGGAGCGAACGGG